CAAACCGAGGAUUCCUCAGUACGGCGAGUGAAGCGGUAAUAGCUCAAAUUUGAAAGCUGCCAACAGGCCGCGUUGUAAUUUGUAGAAGAUGCUUUGGGGGUCGGCCUACUCUAAGUUCCUUGGAACAGGACGUCAUAGAGGGUGAGAAUCCCGUAUGUGAUUAGUGCCUGCUCCCGUGUAAAGCUCUUUCGACGAGUCGAGUUGUUUGGGAAUGCAGCUCAAAAUGGGUGGUAUAUUUCAUCUAAAGCUAAAUAUUGGCCAGAGACCGAUAGCGCACAAGUAGAGUGAUCGAAAGAUGAAAAGCACUUUGGAAAGAGAGUUAAACAGUACGUGAAAUUGUUGAAAGGGAAGCGCUUGCAACCAGACUUGCGGGCGGUCGAUCAUCCGAGGUUCUCCUCGGUGCACUCGAUCGUCUUCAGGCCAGCAUCGGUUUUGGUGGCGGGAUAAAGGCUCUACGAAUGUAGCACCC
rnacentral:rRNA from 1 species